UAUGCAUCUCCUGUUGUUCACCAUGACACAGUUCCUCAAAUGCUCACUGAAGGCUUAUUGCAUGUAAUAGAAUUCUGCCUCUAGGUUUUGACUCAGUACAUGAUGAUGUCUUAACUUUAAGCAGUGAUUGCUACGGCCAGGAAGACAUCAUGACUUUAUUUAGUGGUAUAAAGUAAGGUUAAAAAAAACCCAGAUCUUUAUCCACGAAGUUUGGGGAACACUGGAAAUCAAGCCAGAUGAAGCAAGGAAAAGAAACUGGGUGUUCCCAAAAAAUUUAAUUGAGAAGAAUCACCAUAAUUGUGAGUGGCACCAUCCCAUGGGCUGGAGUCCUUGCCUGACUACAAGGGAGAAAGUAAGGAAACAAGUCUAUCCAUGAAUCUGAACCUAACUGAAAAAUAAAACUAAACUGAACAGCUACAAAUGUGUAGAGCAAGCUAACUGCAGACUAGGGAAGCAGGGAAGCAUGUGGCCUCUGGCAUCAUCGUCCUGGGUUUAAAUCCUGGCUUUGUACAAUGAAGGACCAGGAUGGACCAUGUUAUGUGGCACUGGAGUGCCCUGGAGCCUCCCAUAGGUGGAUGGGCAAUUGUGAGAGUUUUACAUUCCGUUUCACAUUUACUUCAUGAAUCUGUCACCAGACUCCGGAAUCCUGUGAAGGAAUUAGGCAUCUCUUGAUACAAUCUCCUUAUUGACAUUUAUGCUGAUCGAUGUUGGCUCUUACAGAAUUGGAAUCUGCAGAUCAAUUCCCUUAUUAGAUUCUCUCUUACUGCCUCCAUAAUCAUUAUAUCAGACGGGCUGCUGCUAUCAAAUACUGCUUUAUCACAAUGUAAUGGGACAAGUGAAAUCAGUUCCUCUAGUCUGUUACAAGAAAUAAAAAAGUUUUCCUGGUUUUAAAUCUCA